UACGUAGGGUGCAAGCGUUGUCCGGAAUUACUGGGCGUAAAGAGCUCGUAGGUGGUUUGUCGCGUUGUUCGUGAAAACUCACAGCUUAACUGUGGGCGUGCGGGCGAUACGGGCAGACUGGAGUACUGCAGGGGAGACUGGAAUUCCUGGUGUAGCGGUGGAAUGCGCAGAUAUCAGGAGGAACACCGGUGGCGAAGGCGGGUCUCUGGGCAGUAACUGACGCUGAAGAGCGAAAGCGUGGGGAGCGAACAGG
rnacentral:rRNA from 1 species